rnacentral:snRNA from 1 species
GCGGGUGCACCGCCGACCGAC